rnacentral:hammerhead_ribozyme from 1 species
AUCCAACUGACGAGUCCCGAAUGGGACGAAAAGCGCGUCCUGUAU